AACGAACGCUGGCGGCAGGCCUAACACAUGCAAGUCGAACGCUCUAGCAAUAGAGAGUGGCAGACGGGUGAGUAACGCGUGGGAACCUUCCCAAUGGUACGGAAUAGCUCAGGGAAACUUGAGGUAAUACCGUAUAAGCCCCUAGGGGGAAAGAUUUAUCGCCAUUGGAUGGGCCCGCGUCGGAUUAGCUAGUUGGUGAGGUAAUGGCUCACCAAGGCGACGAUCCGUAGCUGGUCUGAGAGGAUGAUCAGCCACACUGGGACUGAGACACGGCCCAGACUCCUACGGGAGGCAGCAGUGGGGAAUAUUGGACAAUGGGCGCAAGCCUGAUCCAGCCAUGCCGCGUGAGUGACGAAGGCCUUAGGGUUGUAAAGCUCUUUUGGCGGGGACGAUAAUGACGGUACCCGCAGAAUAAGCUCCGGCUAACUUCGUGCCAGCAGCCGCAGUAAGAC
rnacentral:rRNA from 1 species